CGGCCCCUCCCUCCCAGGCAGAGCCACGCGCCCCAGGCCCCCUCCCCAGGCCCGCCCACCCUGGUGGACCGUGCGGCCAAGCACGCCCACCCCCGGACACUGGCUGCCCGGUCCCGGAUCCCCAAGGGCGACGUUUCUAUUUGGGAUCCACAACAGGUGCCUGAGAAACAAAGCCGCAGAUCGCUCCACCGCUGUGCGCAGCCCCCUGCUGAGGGGCCAGCGGCUCUCCCUGGGACCCCAGAACCUUAACACAAUUCUGAGGUGGAAGAAAUGGGGAACACCAGGCCUGGCCUCAUGGAGACCGGGGAGUCAGAACCUGAGCUCUGGCUCCUGGAGCUGCUGCGAGUGAGUGGUGGAAACCUGCCCCCUUAGAGAAGCUGCAGCUGAUCAGCAUCAUGCAAGGGACUGCUGAGAUGGUAGCAUGCUGGUAAUGAAGUGUUAUGGAGCCACUCCAUCCUUUAUUCAUCCUUUUCCUCAUACACACAGAGAGCAAAGGAACCAGCUACAGAAUUUGCAAGUGGAGAAUCCAGGUACCUUUAAAAGUCUAUUUAGUGAAAAUCUCUGGCUAUUGAUGUGACGGUUAAUUUUAUGUGCCAACUUGGCUAGGCCAUGGUACCCAGUUUUUCAUAAAAGAUCAGUCUAGAUGUUGUGAAGGUAUAUUUUUAAAUGUGAUUAACAUUUUAUUCAGUGGACUUCAAGUAAAGCAGAUUAUCCUCCAUAUAGUGGGUGGGCCUUCUCCAAUCAGGCCUUAAGAGCAAAGACCAUGGUUUCUCAAAGAAAGAAUUUUCCUCAAGACUGCAACAUAGAGACCUUGCCUGAGUUUCCAGCCUGAUACCCUGAAGAAUUUGGACUCAAGACUGCAAUAUCAGCUCUUUCCUGAAUUUCUAGCCUGCUGGCCUGCCCUACAGAUUUUAGAUCUCCCAGCCCAAUUGCAUGAGCUAAUUCCUUAAAAUAAAUAAAUCUCUGUGUGUGUAUGUGUGCUGUAACUAAUAUAUCCUAUUGGUCUGUUUCUCUGGAGAACCCUAACUAACACAAUUGUCUACCAUAUUACUGCAUAAAAGACUUAUGACUCACCUUUACUACAUUUCAGGGAAGUAGAAACACCUGCCAUAAUUCACAUUUUACAGUUUUAUGGAAAGUAGGCAGGACUUUCACCAAGCUGAGUUAGGAAGCCAGAGUGCUUCACCCAGCCCCAUAAUUAACUACCCAUACUACUACACAAGAAAAUUACUUAACAUCUUUAACUUGCUCGUAUUCUAAACGUGAAUAAUCAUACCUACUUCACUAGAUAUUAGUAUUAAAAUGAAAUAAUGUAUGUAAAUCCUGUAAUAUGAUGCCUGCUCAGC
rnacentral:lncRNA from 10 species